GAUGAACGCUGGCGGCGUGCCUAAUACAUGCAAGUCGAGCGAACAGAUAAGGAGCUUGCUCCUUUGACGUUAGCGGCGGACGGGUGAGUAACACGUGGGUAACCUACCUAUGAGACUGGAAUAACUCCGGGAAACCGGGGCUAAUGCCGGAUAACAUUUAGAACCGCAUGGUUCUAAAGUGAAAGAUGGUUUUACUAUCACUUAUAGAUGGACCCGCGCCGUAUUAGCUAGUUGGUAAGGUAACGGCUUACCAAGGCAACGAUACGUAGCCGACCUGAGAGGGUGAUCGGCCACACUGGAACUGAGACACGGUCCAGACUCCUACGGGAGGCAGCAGUAGGGAAUCUUCCGCAAUGGGCGAAAGCCUGACGGAGCAACGCCGCGUGAGUGAUGAAGGUCUUCGGAUCGUAAAACUCUGUUAUUAGGGAAGAACAAAUGUGUAAGUAACUGUGCACGUCUUGACGGUACCUAAUCAGAAAGCCACGGCUAACUACGUG
rnacentral:rRNA from 1 species